UACAGAGGUCCCAAGCGUUGUUCGGAUUCACUGGGCGUAAAGGGCGCGUAGGCGGCGCAACAAGUCACUUGUGAAAUCUCCGGGCUUAACCCGGAGCGGUCAAGUGAUACUGUCGUGCUAGAGUGCGGAAGGGGCUACUGGAAUUCUUGGUGUAGUGGUGAAAUACGUAGAGAUUGGGAAGAACACCAGUGGCGAAAGGCGGCUAUCUGGACGGUUUC
rnacentral:rRNA from 1 species